CACGUAGUUGGCCGCACCUUCUUCUGAAAGUACCGUCAGUUUCGUUCCUUCUGAAAGCGGUUUACAACCCGAGGGCCUUCUUCCCGCACGCGGCGUUGCUGCAUCAGGCUUUCGCCCAUUGUGCAAGAUUCCCCACUGCUGCCUCCCGUAGGAGUCUGGGCCGUGUCUCAGUCCCAGUGUGGCUGAUCAUCCUCUCAGACCAGCUACCCGUCGAUGCCUUGGUAGGCCAUUACCCCACCAACAAGCUGAUAGGCCGCGAGGCUCUCCCGAUCCAGUAACCCUUUCGUCAGUACUCCAUGCGAAGUUCCGACGUCAUCCGGUAUUAGCAGUCGUUUCCAACUGUUAUCCCAGAGACCGGGACAAGUUCCUCACGUGUUACGCACCCGUUCGCCACUAGAUCUUCAUCAGUAUUGCUACUGAAUGGAUCUCGUUCGACUUGCAUGUGUUAAGCACGCCGCCAGCGUUCGUCCUGAGCCAGGAUCAAACUCU
rnacentral:rRNA from 1 species